GAUGAACGCUGGCGGCGUGCCUAAUACAUGCAAGUCGAGCGAACAGAUAAGGAGCUUGCUCCUUUGACGUUAGCGGCGGACGGGUGAGUAACACGUGGGUAACCUACCUAUAAGACUGGAAUAACUCCGGGAAACCGGGGCUAAUGCCGGAUAACAUUUAGAACCGCAUGGUUCUAAAGUGAAAGAUGGUUUUGCUAUCACUUAUAGAUGGACCCGCGCCGUAUUAGCUAGUUGGUAAGGUAACGGCUUACCAAGGCAACGAUACGUAGCCGACCUGAGAGGGUGAUCGGCCACACUGGAACUGAGACACGGUCCAGACUCCUACGGGAGGCAGCAGUAGGGAAUCUUCCGCAAUGGGCGAAAGCCUGACGGAGCAACGCCGCGUGAGUGAUGAAGGUCUUCGGAUCGUAAAACUCUGUUAUUAGGGAAGAACAAAUGUGUAAGUAACUGUGCACGUCUUGACGGUACCUACUCAGAAAGCCACGGCUAACUACGUG
rnacentral:rRNA from 1 species